rnacentral:rRNA from 1 species
CCUACGGGGGGCAGCAGUAGGGAAUCUUUCACAAUGGGCGAAAGCCUGAUGGAGCAACGCCGCGUGCAGGAUGAAGGCCUUCGGGUUGUAAACUGCUUUUAUAAGCGAGAAAUAUGAUGGUAACUUAUGAAUAAGGAUCGGCUAACUACGUGCCAGCAGCCGCGGUCAUACGUAGGAUCCGAGGAUUAUCCGGAGUGACUGGGUGUAAAGAGUUGCGUAGGUGGGAUAAUAAGUAGCUGGUGAAAUCUGGUGGCUCAACGAUUCAGACUAUUAGCUAAACUGUUAAGCUCGAGACCGUUAGGGGUAAGAGGAAUGUGUAGUGUAGGGGUGAAAUCCGUAGAUAUUAGAAGGAACACCGAUAGCGAAGGCAGGUUACUGGGACGGUUCUGACGCUAAGGCACGAAAGCGUAGGGAGCAAACGGGAUUAGAUACCCGAGUAGUC